rnacentral:rRNA from 1 species
GUCACUGACGAGUUUGAUCAUGGCUCAGGAUGAACGCUGGCGGCGUGCCUAAUACAUGCAAGUCGAACGGGAAACUUUUUUCGAAAAGUUGAGAGUGGCGCACGGGUGAGUAACACGUAGCUAAUCUGCCCUCAAGAGCGGGAUAACGCGCCGAAAGGUGUGCUAAUACCGCAUAAGCUCACGGACUGUAGAGGUCUAUGAGAAAAGCUCAGGCGCUUGAGGAGGAGGCUGCGGCCCAUCAGCUAGUUGGUGAGGUAAUGGCUUACCAAGGCGACGACGGGUAGGGGACCUGAGAGGGUGACCCCCCACACUGGGACUGAGACACGGCCCAGACUCCUACGGGAGGCAGCAGUAAGGAAUAUUGCUCAAUGGGCGCAAGCCUGAAGCAGCGACGCCGCGUGGGUGAUGAAGGUUUUCGGAUCGUAAAGCCCUUUUCUGCGUGACGAGGAAGGACGGUAGCGCAGGAAUAAGUCUCGGCUAACUACGUG